rnacentral:pre_miRNA from 1 species
AAAGUACUCCCUCCGUCCCAAAAUUCUUGUCUUAGAUUUGUCUAGAUACGGAUGUAUCAAGUCACAUUUUAGUAUUAGAUACAUCCGUAUCUAGACAAAUCUAAGACAAGAAAUUUGGGACAG